UACGAGGGGUGCAAGCGUUAUUCGGAUUUACUGGGCGUAAAGAGUGCGUAGACGGCUUAUCAAGUCUGUUGUUAAAUUCCUCGGCUUAACCGAGGGUCAGCAGUAGAAACUGGUAGGCUAGAGUGUGGGAGAGAGAAGUGGAAUUCCCGGAGUAGCGGUAAAAUGCGUAGAUCUCGGGAGGAACACCGAUGGCGAAGGCAGCUUCUUGGACCAUUACUGACGUUGAGGCACGAAAGCGUGGGGAGCAAACAGG
rnacentral:rRNA from 1 species